rnacentral:lncRNA from 1 species
UCCCAAAAGUAUUUGCAUAUUAUACCUUUAAGGAAUCCUCCUUGCUUAGUUUUCUCUUCUAGUUCAAUUCCCAAUCCAUUACAACAUUCUAAUCCAACAUGAUAUAAACCAUCUACCUCUUCGCUAUCUAAUUACUAGAAUCCUCCAUGUGCAAUGCAUGUGCUGUAAAAGGAACUUGGAUGGGAGGCUUUGAGAAUCGGCUUAGACUCAUUCAUCUCCUUGUUUCUUUGAAGGUGCGAAAUGGAGUGAUAUAAGGGGAAAACUAGG